UUAUUCACAGUCAAUUUAAGCUAUACGGGUAUAUUAUAAACAACAUCGAAAGGAAAAUAACUUUAUAUUUUAUUCCGACACUUCGAAGAUAUCGACGCUGAUAUAAAAUGAAGUUGAUAUUACCCCUACUUCUAGCGAUUUUUAUGUUGUCCUCUGCACUUGCAAGAACUAUAUUCUGUGCGUGCACUUUAAAAGACAUGCCUGUGUGCGGUUCAGAUGGAGUUACUUACGGCAACGAGCAGUGCAUGAAGUGUCAACCCAAUGUGACAAAACAGAAAUAUGGCCCAUGUUGAUGAAUGUAAUAUACAAUAAAAUCUUACUGUCUUCACUCACCUA